rnacentral:rRNA from 1 species
AAAUGACUCUCGGCAACGGAUAUCUCGGCUCUUGCAUCGAUGAAGAACGUAGCGAAAUGCGAUACUUGGUGUGAAUUGCAGAAUCCCGUGAACCAUCGAGUCUUUGAACGCAAGUUGCGCCCGAGGCCAUUUAGGUUGAGGGCACGUCUGCCUGGGCGUCACACACA